AUACGUAGGGUGCAAGCGUUAUCCGGAAUUAUUGGGCGUAAAGGGCUCGUAGGCGGUUCGUCGCGUCCGGUGUGAAAGUCCAUCGCUUAACGGUGGAUCCGCGCCGGGUACGGGCGGGCUUGAGUGCGGUAGGGGAGACUGGAAUUCCCGGUGUAACGGUGGAAUGUGUAGAUAUCGGGAAGAACACCAAUGGCGAAGGCAGGUCUCUGGGCCGUUACUGACGCUGAGGAGCGAAAGCGUGGGGAGCGAACAGGAUUAGAUACCCUGGUAGUCCACGCCGUAAACGGUGGAUGCUGGAUGUGGGGCCCGUUCCACGGGUUCCGUGUCGGAGCUAACGCGUUAAGCAUCCCGCCUGGGGAGUACGGCCGCAAGGCUAAAACUCAAAGAAAUUGACGGGGGCCCGCACAAGCGGCGGAGCAUGCGGAUUAAUUCGAUGCAACGCGAAGAACCUUACCUGGGCUUGACAUGUUCCCGACGGUCGUAGAGAUACGGCUUCCCUUCGGGGCGGGUUCACAGGUGGUGCAUGGUCGUCGUCAGCUCGUGUCGUGAGAUGUUGGGUUAAGUCCCGCAACGAGCGCAACCCUCGCCCCGUGUUGCCAGCGGAUUAUGCCGGGAACUCACGGGGGACCGCCGGGGUUAACUCGGAGGAAGGUGGGGAUGACGUCAGAUCAUCAUGCCCCUUACGUCCAGGGCUUCACGCAUGCUACAAUGGCCGGUACAACGGGAUGCGACGCGGCGACGCGGAGCGGAUCCCUGAAAACCGGUCUCAGUUCGGAUCGCAGUCUGCAACUCGACUGCGUGAAGGCGGAGUCGCUAGUAAUCGCGAAUCAGCAACGUCGCGGUGAAUGCGUUCCCGGGCCUUGUACACACCGCCCGUCAAGUCAUGAGAGUGGGCAGCACCCGAAGCCGGUGGCCUAACCCCUUGUGGGAUGGAGCCGUCUAAGGUGAGGCUCGUGAUUGGGACU
rnacentral:rRNA from 1 species